GGACAAUAAUAGCUUGGUUGAUCAUGGCACAUAAUUUUGUGUGGUGUCCUUAUAAAGGUCAAUCUCUUUUCAUAGGUUUUGACGGUGUCCUUUCUAACGGAUACAAAAAUUAAUUCUUUUGCACAACUCAUGCAUUGUUUUCUAUUUAUAUUAAAAUUGUUACCUUGUAUCAUAUGUUUGGACCAAAAUUUCCAUCCAUCUUAUGAAAAAACUUGAAGAUUUGUUUGGGUGCAAACAUAUCAGAGCUAUGUGGGAACACAUUGAUUGAUUGAAGAAAAUGCAAACUAUUAACAUCAUGUAGGUAGUUAGUGAAUGAGCUGUUGAUAACAUAAAUCACAAACUUUGUGAAAUUUUAAUUCUAUGAAUUUUAUUGAUUUUACUUGUGACUUGAUAAUUGGUAGAAAUUGUAACUAUGGGUAGGAAUCGUGCCAUGGGGCACGUGUGUAUACUAACUUAGUGCUAAAAUUGGGCAUGCAAAAAGGGCUAAACAAGCUGAAUGGGAUUCCUACCUGAAGGCCUCUAAAUGCAAGUCCACAACAUUUCAUUGUUAUAAAGGUACAACCUAGCCCUUGAAUUUACCCAAGGCUUCAAUGAGUCAU
rnacentral:misc_RNA from 1 species